UAAAAACUUAUCCUCUCACCCGAAGCCUCCCUCACUUCGCCGACUUACUGCUGCCGCCGACGAUCCUCAAGUUGCUGCCAAUUACCCACUUAUUGCCGCCGUUGCCGUUCCUUUCCUGACGUUCUCUGGUUCGCGUACCUCCUCAUUUUUGCUUGUUGUUUCGAGCGCCGUUCGAGGGCUUGAAAAACACAAAUUCGUGAGAGAAAAAACCAAAAUCACUUGCUUACCUUGAGAAUGGCCGAAUUUCUUGUGAAAUUUGGGUCGCCGUCUUCGGCAGUCAAGGCCUCUAUCGGGCCGUCAGAAUCCUCGAGCGCGGCUUGCUGCUCUGCUUCACGAACGGUCCGUCGCGAAGAGCUAAAAGGGGAUGACGAAGGGAUUUAUAUUGGCUGGGGCUGUCUAGGCGAUGAUUCGGCCUUUUUUGUCACGGCAGAGGAUGUAAAGUCGUGGUGGAAGGAGUAUGGGAUCCCGAAGGAGAUUAAGCUUCGAGCUUCGAACGAGGACGAGAGGGCGGAUGAGCCGAGGGACGGUUGGUUUGCCUUGUAUGAGUUUUUCUUGAUGAUUGGGAUGAAAUUCCCACUGCCAAGGUUAGGUUCCGAGGUGCCGAGGCACUUCAAGAUUGUGAUUGGGCAAUUGAUGCCUAAUUCCAUGAAUAGCAUGCUGCAGGUCACAGCCAUCAGGGAGCGACUGAAAAUGGAUUUGGAUAUCGAGGACUACCAGCCGUUGUAUUACAGAACUCUGGGUCGGCUUGCCGCUGUAUGUUUGUGAGUCGGAAGAAGAACAAAUUGAACUUCAGAGAAGUCUGAAACUUGGAUCGCGAGUGGAAGUCACGUUUUGUGAUGGCUCACGGAUGAAUUGACGAUCUGGACUGCUCGUUUACUUCUCCAACCGCGUGGGAUCGUCCGAGUGACUCACGAGCCCCCCGAGACUUGCAAUUGCUCUUUAUCCCUUUUUGAUUUUGAUGACUGACCUUUUGAUGAUUUCUUUUACAGAACUUGCAAAGAGUUUGGCUUUAAAACUCACGAUUGAGCUUGUGGCACGUCUUCAAUGAGUGAUGGCUGACAACACUACUCCUAUUCAAGUCGCCUCCUGGACCCGCUCGGCUACCGAGUUCACAUAAGCUGCCAAAACUAAGAAAAUCGGGCUAUCGAAAAAAGAGUUGGCGGCGCGGAUGAAGAAUGACAAGUCGUGGCAAGACUUUGACAUCUGGCGACGAGACUCCUGCUUCGGGUAGCUCGACUCCUUAUUCGGUUGCUCGAUUGCAUUCUCCAUUGACGGACUUCCAUCUUCUGAAAAGGAAGAGGGGUAAAGUUGAGGUCAUUCAAUUUGGAGCUCCCGGAGACUGUCGUUUCAACAUGAUCAUGCGGCUGCUUCUCGUUUUAGUGUUUCAAUGGUGACUCGAGCUGACGUUGAGUACUAUUUAAGGAGUUAGUGUUUGUGUACGCUGGCCGAGUCGUCCAGGACCAUCAGUUGGCAAUGGUGAUUGCAGCUCAAUAUAACAGCUGUCGAAAGAAAGCGGGACGAGUUGUGCGAGGAACGUGACUCGUUGAAAGAGCUAUUGAUCAAGGAGAAAGACAAGGCGAGGACCCGCGAUGAAGAGAUGUUGGAUCUCCAUGCGCAACUUGAGUCUUCUGAUAAGGUCGCUGCUAAGGACUUACAGAUCAGCGAGCUAUCAGAUUUGGCUGAUGAAUGGUACACAGACCGUUGGUCCUGCGGACAGCUCGAGUUACUUCGGCUAUUUCGAGAUUGCAAGUUGGAGAAAAAUGGCUUAAAGGCAAAAAUAAUGGAGGUUGUCGAGUACCUGGAUGAGGUGGAGGCCGCAGACUUUGCGACGCCCGAUGAUAAAGAAGAGCAGCCCGAAAGGGCGCUUGAACAUCUAGAAGAUAGGGUUAGGCACCGGAAUGAGCCACCCAGCCAAGAUAUGGAAGUUGAGGGCGCUGAGGCCGAAGAGAAGAAGAGAAGAAGUCUGGAGAUGCUGAAUGAUUCGACUUGCUCCAAUUUAUUAUUUUUUAUUGCCUUUGAUUUAGACAAUUUCCUUUAGCUGCGUUGGCUUUGAGCUUCUAGGUUGUACUCCUUUUGUUUUCAGACAUAGCUUAUUUUGCUUAAACUUUUAUGCA